UUCCAGUCCCGCGUAAAAGAAACUGGCGGCGCGAAGCUGAAAAGACCAGGGGUGGCGGCCCGGAUGGCCGCCACAGGGAGGGCUGAGACAGGAUGUCGAAUCCCGACCGGACCGCAGGAUUGAGGCACAGCAGAGCGUAUCGCGCAGCGACAGUUUCCCCGCGGGCCGGGGG
rfam:Shimwellia blattae DSM 4481 = NBRC 105725, complete genome.